GAAUAAAAGUUGGAAGCUGAAGAAAGAGUUUGAUACUCGGCCAUCCACGGUACAGAAUGUAUUUGCAUUUAGGAGUCUCUUAGUAAUGAUUCUACAUAAUAACGUAAUUAUUAGCAGGUUUCUUUACUUUCGACGAAAAUGUCUUGGUAACCUCAAACUUGAUAUGAACGGAUAGCAGGUUUCGUAUUAGUAACUGUGUUAAAACCUGUUAUUUGUACUUAAAUGGUAUAGAAUAAUGGUUGGGCUCCUGAAUAUAAAAAUUAGAAUGAUCGUGAAAAUGUUCGUUUUCUCGGUUUCGAAUAGAUCCAUCCACACGAAAUCGAUGGAUAAAUUUGGUAUGGUUAGUAAAUCUUGUAUUGUUACCUAUAUAAUCUUAUAUUGUUAUUAGUAAACCGUUUGUUAUACUUGAAAAUUAUUUAUAGGAGAACUCUAUAGAUCCUGGUCCUGGUGCCUUUGUAUGCAGUUGUAAUUUUCUUGAUGGGAAUAAUUAAAAUGAUCCUAUACAGCUCUUGUCCUUACUACAGUACCUUGUCGCAAAAUAGUUAAAAUAUCGGAGUCCCAAAAAAUUAGCAGCCACAUAACUGCCGGAGCAGAAACACCAAGUGGCCAUUUAAGCACAAGACCUGAAACUGAGCCACAACCUUAGACUUCGACUGAAGGUAUUCCUGAAACAUUUAUGUCUACCGCACGGAUUGAUGCUGAAAAUGAUUUGUGAAUGUGAAAAGUGUGAAUGGGACUUAACAAUUUAUCUGAACGUUUUUCAAUUGAAAGUAGAGAAUGAAAUGACAUCUUAGUAUUUAUGUAUUUUCCUACUUAUGCAAUAUGUAUAUGUUUGUUUGCAAUACUCAAAGAUAUCAGUAGUGUGUUAUUAUGACUGGAAAGUUGAAAAACGUAGUAAGCAAAAUCAGUUACUCAUAACUCUCAUGAAACUUUAGCUGUUAGUUUUAAUGUUUCGCAGUCAAAAAUAUACAGAAUUACAGUAAUA